AGGGUUUAUGUUAUUUCUUUCUUUUCAUGCUGUGCAGCUAUACUAAACCCUAAACUUAACAACAACUCUUUUCCAAUUUUUGGUAUCUUCAUACACUUCUUCCACUCAAUCCAUGGUAUAUCUUCCCUCACUCCUUUAAACAAGAACACAGUUGUUACAUAUAUCUUCUCCUCAGUUCUACUCCACCGUUACCGUUGCGAUGUGCCGUUGUCAUUCUCUUGAGUUUCGAUUUCAAGCAUUUGAUCGUGCACUUUGAUCUUUGAGAUAGACGGAAUGACAAAGGCAUUAUAAACUCACACACAAGUGGGAGGUACCGGGGUUCGAACCCCGGUCAUGGCAUCCAGCCUAAUAAUUUCGGCAUUUUACCGGUUGAGCUAGGUCUUCAUUGUAAGAUCGAUAUUUUAGUUUUGAAACUAAAUUAAUUUUUUUUUAUACAAAGUUAAUUAAUUAUUAGAAUA